UACGUAGGGGGGCAAGCGUUGUCCGGAAUCAUUGGGCGUAAAGCGCGUGUAGGCGGCCCGGUAAGUCCGCUGUGAAAGUCGGGGGCUCAACCCUCGAAUGCCGGUGGAUACUGUCGGGCUAGAGUGCGGAAGAGGCGAGUGGAAUUCCUGGUGUAGCGGUGAAAUGCGCAGAUAUCAGGAGGAACACCAAUUGCGAAGGCAGCUCGCUGGGACGUGACUGACGCUGAGACGCGAAAGCGUGGGGAGCAAACGGG
rnacentral:rRNA from 1 species